AAGAGAAGACAGUGGAGCAGUGCAGGGUCUAGUCAACCCGGGAGAGGCUGUGGAAUGUUCCAGCUGGCAGGCAGGAGCCCUGAUGGGUAUUUCCAGCCCCAAACCCAGGGAGUAAUAACAAGAGGGUGCUGUGAUUGUCCCCACUAUACAAGGCAGAAGCCCUGGCACAAGAAUUGGUAAGCUGUCCAGGUGAAUAAGCAGCAGACAGAAUCUGAACCCCAAGACGCAUGCCCUGGACCACUGUGAUACACUGUUUCUAGAUCAACGGCACAGUGAAAGCUACAAUCAGUUUACAAACCUGUAUUACGCCUGUUGAACAUUUUCCCAUGGAUCACCUGCUUCCCUGUCAUAGCUGCCAAUGACCACAGACAACCACAUGGUAAUAAAAUGCACCCGAAGUGCAGCAGUGCAGCGUCUGAACUACAGCCUUGGAGGCCGGCAUGCUCCGGGCCAUGUCCCCUUUGGGAGCUGAGGAGCCAGCAUGCGGGCAAGAACUGCCAUCGAGAGGGCACAGAACUCAAAGUGAGGAGUCCUGCCUGCUGUGUGACUUCAGAGCCCCAGAUGAGAGCAGGGAUCACCCUUUUCAAAAAAUCAAACAAGACAUGAACCAAAAUGCUCUGUCACUCCUGCCUCAUUCUAGCUGAUGUAACCGGGUACAGCUGAGAGGGCGUC